AUUGAACGCUGGCGGCAUGCCUUACACAUGCAAGUCGAACGGCAGCACGGGUGCUUGCCCCUGGUGGCGAGUGGCGAACGGGUGAGUAAUCCAUCGGAACAUGUCCUGUAGUGGGGGAUAGCCCGGCGAAAGCCGGAUUAAUACCGCAUACGAUCUACGGAUGAAAGCGGGGGACCUUCGGGCCUCGCGCUAUAGGGUUGGCCGAUGGCUGAUUAGCUAGUUGGUGGGGUAAAGGCCUACCAAGGCGACGAUCAGUAGCUGGUCUGAGAGGACGACCAGCCACACUGGGACUGAGACACGGCCCAGACUCCUACGGGAGGCAGCAGUGGGGAAUUUUGGACAAUGGGCGAAAGCCUGAUCCAGCAAUGCCGCGUGUGUGAAGAAGGCCUUCGGGUUGUAAAGCACUUUUGUCCGGAAAGAAAUGCUUGGCCCUAAUACGGUCGGGGGAUGACGGUACCGGAAGAAUAAGCACCGGCUAACUACGUG
rnacentral:rRNA from 1 species